ensembl:lncRNA
AAAUUAAAUAAAAAUACCCAAAACUGUAUACAGUACCAUAACGAAGACGAACUGUAUGUUGAUAUGUGAAAUUCUGGAGGGACGUCGGACGGCGUGGCGCAGUGACGUAAUGACGCGGGCUGUUAAUCUAAUUAUGUUCUAAAACAUGUAAAACGGGCACAAGAAAGGAGUAUUCUAAAAGUGACUCAUGUAAACACCAUAAUCACAUUAUUAUCUUAAUCAGAGUAAGGUCAAUAAUUAGAUUACUGCUGUCCAUGUAAACGUAGUCAGUGAAUGUUUGCACCUUUUUUGUGAUAGUUGUGUACAAGUCUCUCAGUUGUCCUCAGUGUGAAAAGAUGGAUCUCAGCAUCAUAUAGUUGCUGUUGGAAAGGGGUCACAUAUGCAGAAGAUGCUGGAAAAGCAAAGAAUGUGCAGGACCUGGAGGAUUUUUCUGAAGAACAGUUACUUGAUGCUCGGUCUUGUUGUGUUGCUGGUCGUUAUGGAGAGCUUCUGGAAGCUUCAGCAAGUGCAGGCCUUGGUGCGUCUCUUUGUUGGGUCUACAACAGCGUCACUAAAAGAAGAUGAUCUUGAGGAGCUAGUGCUAGGUGAAUGGCCAGACAGCCAUGAUAUUCCAACAGCGGCUGUUCAGUUUAGACCCCCUAUCUCCAUCAUCUCACAUCGCAUGUCUGAUUCACCAGCAUUCCCUUUUGUGGAGGAUGCAUGUACAUCAUUUACAGCAAAAGCGGCAACUUAUAAGAAGACCGUGUGUCCGCAACAUCAGCCAGACACUGAUCCAGACCCAGCUGAUCAAAACAACUGAUUACCAAAAUCAAAUGUCUUUAAACACGGUCACUAAAUUU